rnacentral:rRNA from 1 species
UACGUAGGGGCCUAGCGUUGUCCGGAAUCAUUGGGCGUAAAGAGCUCGUAGGCGGUUCGGCAAGUCACGUGUGAAAUCUCCACGCUUAACGUGGAGGCGCCACGUGAAACUGCCGUGACUCGAGUCCGGUAGGGGAGUGUGGAAUUCCCGGUGUAGCGGUGAAAUGCGCAGAUAUCGGGAGGAACACCAGUAGCGAAGGCGGCACUCUGGGCCGGUACUGACGCUGAGGAGCGAAAGCGUGGGAGCGAAGAGG